CGACCUGAGGUCAGACGAGAGUACCCGCUGAAUUUAA
rnacentral:rRNA from 1 species